UUCCAUCCUCGGAUUCCAUCCUAUCUCCAGUCACUCUGGCAUUCCCGAGGUCCUUCCUCAGAUACCUUGAACCAAGGUUGGAGACCGUGAUAUAUCAAACAAUCAUUUGUUUGCCUAAACUGGAACACCCAAGCUUUGCUGUGGCGUGUGGCAGGGAAUGGAGUGUUCUUUGCAGGAGGUAUAAGAGACAAGGGUUCGAUCCCCUUGUGUUGGCACUGCUGCAGUUUACCUACUAUCAGCCUGAGCGUGUAGACAUCACUGAGAGUGAGAAAGAAUGAAAGCUGCCAGGAACCUGGAAGAUCCCCUGGAGGAAGGGUUUACUACAGUAAUCGAAGGGGACCUCAAUGAGGGUCCAGAUCAGGGUGUUGGCCAGAGCUGGGGAAAGAGAGAGGAGCCUGGAAACUCUGAAGAGAUACAGAACAGAGCUUAAUGAUGUCGCCACGGCUGAAGAUAACAAAAAGUGAAAUGCUGCACAGUGGACAUGCUCAGGGGACACACAUUUUAAGAUUGAUUCUCUGCAGAGCUGAGUAUUUAAUAUGUCAGCUUAGCGAUAAUACCCUCAAGAGCCUCACUUUUGUACCUGCCGUGAUGAAGGCCAGCUCUGGCCUGGGCUCAGACAGUGCAUUUGUGCCUGGCAGGUCCUCCUCAGCCUAGGGAGCAUUCCAGGUCCUGGCUUCCGCCUCAGGCUGGCUUCCUGGCACUCCCUUGGAGUUGGUUCAUCUUGUCUGUUAUGGCUGGAGGGAAGCCUCAUGGGGCUGUCUGUCGGCUUGAGCAGAGGGGUCCCAAGACACAGUGGAGUGCUUUCCUAUUCCCCGCAGGCUGGAUGAGGUCCCCAUCAGUGCUUUUUAAUUUCAGCCAUGGGAUCCUCUGCUCGUGGUUCAGGAGGGAGAGUCACAAAGCGAAUGUGACAAGUAUUUCAUUUUAUGGGACACUUUCUGAAGCCCUUAUUAGAAGAAGAGAUUUCCAAAGACGAAACAAUGAACUGAACAUCACAGGUAUUGACCAAGCAAAGCCACGGCCCAGGAACUGCCUCAAAGCUCGGGGCCUGGCUGGGAGCACAGAGCAGCCGCUUUCAAAGGAGAUUCUUAGACAGAAAGUCAUAACUUAUUCAUGCUUCAUAAACACACGCAGGCAUUCAGGUCCCUUAAACACAGUAUGCCACUUCACUUCAAUUAACAGCAAAGUGGUGCCAUUUGCUCACAAAUUCUGCCAGCUUUGGUGUAGCGAGAGCUCCUGCAAGGAGGCAGCUAGCCAUCAAACCCAAAACUCUAGCAACUCAUUUGAAUCCAAGAAAUGCUGGCCUCCUUGGCCACAGGAAAGACAUUUGGGGCCAUUUCUGUUUUUUUCUUAAUAUAGAAUAAUUUGUUGUGAUCAACUAGAAAGUCUUAGUGUCUGAGCUUCACUUGAUAACUAAGAAGAGGUACAGAUUAGAAAUAGCAUUCCUACUAGAGAAGGUGUGUGUGUGUUCAGCUGCUCAUUUGUGUCCAA